rnacentral:tRNA from 1 species
GGUUUAAUAUUCAAAAUAUGAUUUUAAAUUGCAAAUUUAAAGUUGAGGGUUCCUCUUAAACCU